AUUGAACGCUGGCGGCAUGCCUUACACAUGCAAGUCGAACGGCAGCACGGGAGCAAUCCUGGUGGCGAGUGGCGAACGGGUGAGUAAUAUAUCGGAACGUGCCCAGUCGUGGGGAUAACGUAGCGAAAGCUACGCUAAUACCGCAUACGAUCUAUGGAUGAAAGCGGGGGAUCGCAAGACCUCGCGCGAUUGGAGCGGCCGAUAUCAGAUUAGGUAGUUGGUGAGGUAAAGGCUCACCAAGCCGACGAUCUGUAGCUGGUCUGAGAGGACGACCAGCCACACUGGGACUGAGACACGGCCCAGACUCCUACGGGAGGCAGCAGUGGGAAUUUUGGACAAUGGGCGCAAGCCUGAGUCCAGCAAUGCCGCGUGCAGGAUGAAGG
rnacentral:rRNA from 1 species